ensembl:lncRNA
AGCCAGUGAGGAGCUUCAGGAUAAAGACUGUGCUGAUGGUCUUCAACUGCUAUUGAUCGUCAUCCUGAUAUUGAUCGUAAUCUUCUCUGCAAAAAAACAACAAAGUGCUGAUUUGAACAAACCACAAGCCUCUGGUGAGCAGCGCACCCACAGCCAGACACAAUCACACCUGCUUUCAGCUUUCCACCCCUCCGUCCUCUGUGCAAAAGUGUGAAAUGAAGUGUUGUUGUCUCAAACGCAGUGAGUAAGAUUUUAUCAUUAGACACUGUAAAGCUGUAAAACUGUAAUUCGCCACGUUAGAGAAACACAUUCUCCCAAAUAUGGAAUCAAACCAUGUUCGUCUAUGUUUGUUAAAAGUAGCUUUAAUGCUUUUGAUGCUGAAAAGCUGCAGAAAACCAAUAAAAUGCAGAAGUGGGCUGAAGAGAAGACGCUGGUAGGAACUGUUUCAAUACAAAAGCAGGACAGAACGUCGGCUUUUCACUGAUAUCGACCGUUUAAGACAGAAUAUAUGAUCAAAUCAGUUCUAUGAUCUUGAUGAUCACAGUGGAACUCCGUGGAACCACAGAUGACCAUUAAAUCUGUUGCACUCUUCAGAAAUAUGGAGCCAGUGUUUUUGGAGGUUUCUCAGAUUUUUCAGGUAUUUUAGAUGGUCAGUAGAGGUCAUCUGUGAAAUUACAGCCGAUGUCAUUUUUAAAAAUCUUCAAAAUUCAAGAAGCAGAAGUUAAAAAGACGGCUUGAUUUCCUGCUUCAUGUCAGAUGAUCUGUGUGUGUCCGUGUGAGUUUUAGGUGAGGACAGUGAGAGAGAGGAGCUGUGGCGUCUCCACGACGGUGUGUUUUAUCUGUUCUGGGAGGCUGAGGGGAGCUGCACCGAGGCCCUGAACUUCUGUGAAGAUAGAAACUCCAGAAUGGGCACCGUUACACAUGAGAACAAGGAUGGUACUACGACUGGACCCCCGAAUAAGACCCUCCGUCAGUGUCCGCUGGAUAAAGGAAACUCAGCAAACUCGGAGGAGGUGCAGGGCUGGGUGUGUGAAAGUGAUCAACUGAAACAUCUCCAAAUCCCCAAAUUUCCGACUCAGACACCAUAUCUAUUUGAUUUUUAUGACGGCAUCGUUUUUGAUGAGUAUGAGGAAGUAGCUAUUUCUCCUACUAUGGAUUAUGACCAUUUCAUUUUAUUAGCACCUGAGCGUGAAAGCGCUGCGUCCUCUGCAGCGUCUCCUCUCUCUGUGAACUCUCUGGUCUGCAUUGUUACAGUCUCUGUUCUGGCUUCACUGCGUCCACUGCACCUCUGAGUCUAUGCAGAAAAGUCACCCUUAUGUCAUUUAAUGUCCAGGUACCAGUCAUUUGGAAGGUCCACUGGAGAUUCUUUGUCAGUGUUCAGUAUAUAUUUAAAAAACAUUCAACUGAAAAGUCAGAUAAAGCCACUGAACUUGAAGUUGUAAAUGCUCAGCCUGAAUACCCAUUAAACUAAAUACCUA